rnacentral:rRNA from 1 species
GGAAUCAACGCUGGCGGCGUGCCUCAGACAUGCAAGUCGAACGCGAAAGUCCCCUUCGGGGGACAAGUAGAGUGGCGCACGGGUGAGUAACACGUAGGUAAUCUACCUUCGGAUGGGGAAUAACAACCGGAAACGGUUGCUAAUACCGCAUAAUGCAGCGGCACCUAAUGGUGACAGUUGUUAAAGCGGGGGAUCGAAAGACCUCGCGUCUGAAGAGGAGCCUGCGGCGGAUUAGCUAGUGUAGG